UACGUAGGGUGCGAGCGUUGUCCGGAAUUAUUGGGCGUAAAGAGCUCGUAGGCGGUGUGUCACGUCGGCCGUGAAAACCUGCAGCUUAACUGUGGGCGUGCGGUCGAUACGGGCAUCACUGGAGUUCGGCAGGGGAGACUGGAAUUCCUGGUGUAGCGGUGAAAUGCGUAGAUAUCUGGAGGAACACCGGUGGCGAAGGCGGCGUCCUGGACCAACACUGACACUGAUGAGCGAAAGCCAGGGGAGCAAACGGG
rnacentral:rRNA from 1 species